rnacentral:rRNA from 1 species
AUUGAACGCUGGCGGAAUGCUUUACACAUGCAAGUCGAGCGGCAGCGCGGGGGCAACCCUGGCGGCGAGCGGCGAACGGGUGAGUAACAUAUCGGAACGUACCCCGUCGUGGGGGAUAACACAGCGAAAGCUGUGCUAAUACCGCAUACGACCUGAGGGGUGAAAGCGGGGGGAUCGCAAGACCUCGCGCGAUGGGAGCGGCCGAUAUCGGAUUAGCUUGUUGGUGAGGUAAAGGCUCACCAAGGCGACGAUCCGUAGCUGGUCUGAGAGGACGACCAGCCACACUGGAACUGAGACACGGUCCAGACUCCUACGGGAGGCAGCAGUGGGGAAUUUUGGGACAAUGGGGGGCAACCCUGAUCCAGCCAUUCCGCGUGAGUGAAGAAGGCCU